rnacentral:misc_RNA from 1 species
AAGUCGUAACAAGGUUUCCGUAGGUGAACCUGCGGAAGGAUCAUUACAGAGUUCAUGCCCUUCGGGGUAGACCUCCCACCCUUGUGUAUUUAUACCUUUGUUGCUUUGGCAGGCCGCUAGGCUCUGUCCUGGCUACCGGCCCCGGCUGGUACGUGCCUGCCAGAGGACCCCAAACUCUGAAUGUUAGUGUCGUCUGAGUACUAUAUAAUAGUUAAAA